rnacentral:lncRNA from 1 species
CUCUCAGCCCCAUCGCCUUCACCACAUCUCCAAGGUGGGGAGAAGGGCUGAAGAUUGAGUUCAACAUGGGGUUCAGAGAACUCCCAGGUUGGUGAACACAUGGAAAAUUUGGGGAGAGUGGCACAUGCAGAGGGAUCCUGGGAGCUCCACAUCCCUUCUCCACAUGUCUUGACAUUUUGGAAGAUCAUUCCUAGGUAGAGGUUCCCACUGUCAAUCCAGAGUGACAACGGAGCUGCAUUUAUCUAUCCUAGAAGCCAGGAAGUAUCAAGAGCCUUGGACAUCACUGGGAAACUCCAUGCCUCACGCUGGCCCCAGUCCACAGGAAAGACUGAAAAGAUGAACCAAGAAACUACUUAACCUGGGACAAGGUGUUGAGAAGAUUCUUGGCUUCACCCAUGGGGGAGAUUACAUACAACAGAAGGAAAUAGCGAUCAGGCAGUGCUUAAAAUUUUUAAAUGAAAGUCUAACUUCUGUUCAUGAGUUUGCCUCUCACAGCUCCGUGUUCCCGUCAGAUGUUGCACUCCACCACACCAAGGCAGGUGACCAAGUUCUCCUUAAGUCUUGGAAGGAGACUUCCAGAGGAUCAACUACCCCCCAAGUGGACCAGGCAUUAUGAAGCCCUCCUGACCACCCACCCAUCAGCCAAACUGGCCAGAGUCAAGCUGCAGACUCAUCACACCCGAGUCAGUCCUGGCUCCCCACCCCAUGACCAGAGAACUCAGAAGCUGAAAAGAAAAUAAACUGGUCUUUUGAGCUGCUGAAAGACCUUAAGCUGCUGUUAUGGAUUAAGGCAGCUGACAUCAAACAGUCAUAUAAGUAAAAUGAGUCAGGUUCCGGCAUUUUGGGUUCUGGAAUUUUGGGUUAAUCAAAUAUGGAAUAACCUGCUGUUCUAAGACUGUAGAGAAAGGCACUCAAACAAUGGUAAAGCAAAAUAUAACCCGGUACCCGAGAACAUUUUAAAAAUUUCCUUCCUCAGUUUAGCCAUCUUUGCCCCCUUUCCGGCAGGAAGUAGUGAGAACAAUCAGUGGCCUUCUUCCUGCAAGAAUGAGGAUGGAAAAAAGACAGUGGGGAUUGAAGCUGGGUACCUGGGGGUUACUGUAGAUAUUCCAUGAGAAUAGGAUUGCCCUUGACCUUGUUCCCAAUGCAGACCUAGAUGAAUCUUGUCGAUUGGCUGUUUUCUUGUUUAGCUUGUGAGGUGACUCAGGUCUCGAGGAUUUGUGAGUUUACUUUGCAGAAGAAAGAGAAUGCCUUUGGGGAGGAUGUCGGGCCCUCAGAAGGUACCGAUGCCCAGAAGUCAGAUUGCCCAGGGGCUUAUCAGGAGCGACCCCUUUGUUUCUCCAAAGCUCCUCCUGCCAAGACCCUUAGCUCCAUAAAACCCCCUGCUUUCAGUUCUUGGGGAGGAGAUUUGAGCAAACCCCGGCUCCCACCUUCUCGUUUUGGUCAGUCUGAAUAAACCCUUCUCCAGCUCCAAGCACCAAUGUCUCAGUGCUUGGCUUGCUGCACAUCAGGCACAGGAACCUGAGAUAAGAGGUUUGAUCACCUCCACCAAGUCUCUAGCCUACUAAAGACUGAAGGACAUCUCUUGGAAAGACAGCCUUUGUUUAACACUUCGUGGAGACUUUUAAAGGAGGGGCACACUGUCCUAAAGUUUUAAAACGAUAGCUGUGGAGUCUUUGUGGAUGUGUGUCUACAUCUAUGUUACAUAUGUGUGAUGUUUUACCUCCAGAUGGUAUAAUUCUUUUAAAACUCCAUUUAAUUGGCUUAAAGUAAGCACUUAUAUAAAUUAUUUCUAAAUAUAAUAGGAACUAACCCAAAUGUCUUUCAGGUUAACAUGAUGUGAAAUAAUCUUUGGUAAACAAAAGCUUGUUAAACUUUGUUGGUUUGAUUAAAUAGGCAUGUCCUCACAGUUAUGAACAUUGGUUAUAAUACAGACAUGCAGCCUGGGUUUACUAGUCAAAUAAGCUCAGGUUAUCUCUGUCACAAAACUGGUUAGCAAUAGCAAUCACUUAAAGUGAUAGUUAAUUUUGUCUGAUGUCUCAUAAAGUUUUGUGGGUAAUCUAAACAUAAUUGCUGAGAAGAAAUGACUUAGAUGUAAGUGAGAUAAAAGUUUAUAGAUAAGCUUUUAGCAAUAAUUAUAUUUUAUGGCAUGUGUCUUUAAAAUAACUUCCAAAAUCUCUUUGGAAAUUUGAAACUUUGAAAUUUUUCUAUGUUAAAUUAAAUGAUGGGAAAUUCAUUGACUCAUCUCUAAACUAGAUAAAACAUUAGACAUUAAUUAGUAAAUAUAAGUUUGUCUACUUUUGGCUUCUCAUUACAGAUAAACUACAAGAUGUUUGGGUCUGUUGGUAAACAUGACUUGUACUUUUAUUAGAAGAUUGUACUGUGAAGUAGCAUGUUCCUAGAAAUUGUGAAAAGUAAUAUAUGUUGUAAAGUCACAGAAUGCUAAUGUAAAAGAUAGUUUAUAAUAGCUUACUUCUUAGUUUUCACUGAAAACUAAGGUCUAUGAAGGUUAAGAAUUCUUAUUAAUAUUGGUAAUUAAAACUACUAAAAAUUAGGGGCCAGCCCUGUGACCGACUGUUUAAGUUCGUGUGCUCUGCUUUGGCGGCCCAGGGUUUCACCAGUUCCGAUCCUGGGAGCAUCAUGGCACGGCUCAUCAAGCCAUGCUGAGGUGGCAUCCCACAUGCCACAACAACAGGGACCCACAAAAGAAAAAAAUACACAACUAUGUACCGGGGGGCUUUGAGGAGAAAAAGGAAAAAUAAAAUCUUUAAAAAAAAACCUAGUAAAAAUUAAUAAGAAACACAUCUUUGUAUUCAAGAAAAGUAAGGUGUGUGUUUUCAGUAAAGAAGGUAUAAAGAAUGGAAACAUUUAUGUUGUUUUGUUAAGAAAGAUAAAUUUGUCCUAAAACACUAGAAGAGAAGAAGAGGGCAUGGGACAAAUUCUGAAUGGAAAAAGAAACUUAGAAAAGGUUUGUGGAAGAGGAACCCUGAGGAGAGAGUUUUGUGAAUGGCCAAGUUGGCUAAGAUUAAAAUGAAUUUAAUUAAGGGAGUGAGUUUUAAUGUCAAAAGCAGGUCAGUACAAAAUUAGAAUUUGGUUCUUUCCUUCUCUUAAAAGGAUAAUUUUCCUAAACUUUUAGUCUGCUCUUCAUAAAGAGAUUACGAUGACUCACUCCUACCCCUAAUAAGGACCAUAAAAGUUAGAACGGCUAGCUUACUGUGGAAGGUUACAGAUAGACAUACAGCCGUUGGUGGUCUUCUCCCACAUCAUGGCAGACCCGGGAGGAGUCUUAGCUGAUAUGUCUUGCUGUCUCUAUGUUACUACUAGUGGCACUACAGAAGAGAGUGAAACCGGGUCACUGGAAAAGGCCACUUGGCUGACAGGAAGAAGCCAGUCAGACCACCUGCUCCUGAGCCCCUGAACAACUGUCCUUCUUCUCCUGCUCUUUGGACCCCGCAUAUUCAAUUGUCUGGUAGCUUAUUGAGGCUGUGAAAUUACACCUGGUUGUUACACAAGGAUACAAACAACAGGGGGUUAUGCCUGGUGACCCACAAACCUGUCAUAGAUUAGCUGGGGAAAGUUCUGCUCCUCUAGUGGUCCCUGUGACAACACUCACACCCAGCAGGAAGCCAUUACAGAAAUGGAGGAGCAGGAUCAAACUAGAGGAGGGCUCUUGUCACCGACUAAUUGCCUUGAGGAACUCGAGUGAGAUUUCAGAAGCAUGUUUUCCUCCUGAGCCUGAGCAAGUGAAUAACCACCUCUCCCUUUUCAAUGUUCAUUCCGCAUCCAAAAUAAAAUGCCCUUGCUGUCCUGUGCUUGGGGAGCCACGACUUUGGAAAGGAUUCCAUGUGGUCGCCUUAUUUGCAGCAGAUAAAUUUUACUCUGUGUGACAACUACAUCUGAUGAAGCCUCUGAUUUCAAUUCACUAAGAAGCAGACCCUCUUUGGUUUGGAAACAGAUCCACAUCAGAAGAAGCAAGCCACGGAGACCUGCAGCUACUCCCCCCACCUCCACUGAGCAUGCAAUUCUAGAGUGGAAGUGUCACUCAGACGUAAGUGUGCCCUUGUUCCCAUCCGCAGGUCCAUGGCUGGCUGGGAUACUUUACCUCAGUGGGGAAGCUCCUAAUCUCUUCCCAGAGGAACUGCCUUCAUCUGCAACACGGCACGGAGAAGUUCAAGCCUAAGCAAAGGGCAUCAGAUCUGAAAUACAAGCAGCAACAGGAGAAUAUGAAGAGGAGGAGUCUUAAAAGUCAACUCAAAAAACGGGUUGUAGAGACUCCUCAUCCUGAGGUGUGAGGGAGGUGAUUUAAGACAAGGCGAUAACCCACCUGAAGCCAAGCCUUAUCUGUGUCCAGCCCUGCUCGCCUGACUGGGGAAGACCAAUCGACAGUUCUUGAAGGUAAACCAGAGUCGAGCUGCAUGGUAUCUUCUCGAGGUGGAGACUGGGGGGCUGUUGACCAAUCAGCUGAAAGGACCAGCGUAACAGAGCCAGCAACUGAGAACUGAGACAGCUGGGACAGAAGUCAGCCUACCCCACAACAAACUGGAAAACAUCGAGAAGACUAUCACACAUACAGAGGAAGGAAUACACAAAAGGGAGUGCUUGUCCUAUGUUUGCCCUGAGGCAAGGCCGGCUCCGAGAGGACAGCAGCCCACGGCCGUCCUGCCCAGCCUCCUGCCUUCGCACAUGCUGUUCCUUUAGCCUGAAUCACUCUUCUCUCCCCUCUUUGGCCAACUCACCUCCCUGUCACCCUUCAUAGCUCAGCUCAGUGUCACCUCCUCAGGGAAGCUUUCUCUCACUGCAACACAGGCUCCCCUUGCCAUCGCGUGCUCCAAUGCCCAUGUCAGCUUGUAACCAUAAAUUUAUUAUUUGUGCAAUUAUUGGGUUUCUGUCUGUCUUCUCCUCUCAGACAUGAGCUGGACGAGGGGUGAGGUGCUGUCUUUCUUCACCUGGCCCAGGGCCUGGCACACAGAAGGUGCUCAGAGAACCAACGAACAGAUGCAUGUGCAUAACAGACCUGCUCUUGUGCAGUCUUCCCGCCCAACUCAAAAUUCUUAUGAGCCCAUUGCAGAACUUUGAGUGCUGGCUCACAGAGUCCUCUUUGAAACUCAUGCUUCUUAUUUCAACAACAACGCCUCUCCUCCUGCUGCCCCUCUGUGCCCAGCCCCUCGCUGAGUGGUCCUGGGGCAGCAGAGAAAGCUCAGUCCCAGAUCCUGCCCAUGAGAAGUUCCAGUCUGAGGGUGGGAGCACAGAGCUGGACACAGACACUGCCAGCCCAAGUGUUGAGGGUAAAAUGAGGGUCUCAGGGCUGGGGAGUAGGGAAGGGAGAGUGUCCUGGAGAAGGGCCUUGACUUGGCAUGGAGAGCAGAGCAUGAAGAAUUAUUAGUCUGGAAGGGUGGAGGCAUUCCUAGCAGAGGGACUGCAUAUGCAAAGGCCCUGAGGCUUGAGAAAUGGUGGUUUUAGGAUAGAGGAGCCAGGGGAAAUGGCUACAGAGGGGACUGGCUAGGUCCAUUAGAGGCAGGUUGUAACGGACCCUAAGGCCAAGCAGAUGAGGUUGAACUACGUCCCACAGGAAGAGAAUAAACUAGCGUCAGCUGUUGUCAAAGUAGGGCAGGCAAGAUGUUCCAGUAAGAAUCAGACAGGGUGGCUAGGAAGAGUGGAACAGGUCGCACACUACACUAACCUAAGGGGGGCGGGGGUGCCAUGCACACAGACUGCAAUGAGUAGGGUACUUACACACAUGUACACACACACGCACACACACACACAGGGGAAUUAUGCGGUAUAGUGGCCCUGCAUGUAGGAGAAAACUGAAGAACUUUCAUUGACAUUUUUUAUGUGCUUAGGGGUUUCUUUGGUUUUUUAGAUUCCACAUAUAACAGAGAUCGUACAGUACUUGUCUUUCUCUGUCUGACUUAUUUCCACUCAGCAUAAAGCCCUUGAAGCCCAUCC